GAUGAAGAACGUAGCGAAAUGCGAUAAGUAAUGUGAAUUGCAGAAUUCAGUGAAUCAUCGAAUCUUUGAACGCACAUUGCGCCCCUUGGUAUUCCGGGGGGCAUGCCUGUUCGAGCGUCAUUAUCACCCCUCAAGCUCAGCUUGGUGUUGGGGCCUGCCGUCAAGGCAGCCCUUAAAAUCAGUGGCGGCGCCAUCUGGCUCUAAGCGUAGUAAUACUUCUCGCUACAGGGUCCCGAUGGUGUCUUGCCAGAACCCCUCAUUUUUUAUGAUUGACCUCGGAUCAGGUAGGGAUACCCGCUGAACUUAAGCAUAUCAAUAAGCGGAGGA
rnacentral:misc_RNA from 1 species